rnacentral:rRNA from 1 species
GACGAACGCUGGCGGCGUGCUUAACACAUGCAAGUCGAACGGAAAGGCACUUCGGGGUUCCCGAGUGGCGAACGGGUGAGUAACACGUGGGCGAACUGCACUGCACUUUGGGAUAAGCCUGGGAAACUGGGUCUAAUACUGGUACGGAAUAAGGCAAGCAUGUGCUGUGGAUGAACGCAGUGGCGGCGUGGGAUGGGCUCGCGGCCUGACAGCCUGUUGGUGAGGUAAUGGGCUAGGAAGGCGACGACGGGUAGCCGGCCUGAGAGGGUGACCGGCCACACUGUGAUUGGGGAGCGGCCCAGACGCCUACGUGAGGCAGCAGUGGAGGAUAGUGCGCGAUGGGCGGAAGCCGGAUGCAGCGACGUCGCGUGGGGGAUGACGGCCGUCGGGUUGGAAACCUCUUGCGCCAGGAACGAAGCGCAAGUGACGGUACCUUGAGAAGAAGGACCGGCCAACUACGUG